UGUGUGCGUGCGUGAGAGAGAAUUCGUGUGUCUGUGUUUCUGUCUCUGUGUCUGUGCGAGGAGAUGAUGGCAUUGAUUCACGAAAAAAAAAAUUAAAAAAAAACACAGAUAGGAGAAAAAUCCAGGGGAAAAACAGGAUUAAUUACCCCCCAGCUACUUUGCGAGCCAAAGAAAUGAAUGUGCCGGUAAACCCAGCAGACCUCGCCUCACCGUUCUCUCUGUUCCCAGGCUGUGCUGAAACGCUCAGCGGAGCUGCCAAACUCGGCCGAGCACUGGCUGCCCACCCACCGCUAAUUGGUUUCUGUCGUACCCAGAAAGCGGGCGAGGGGAUUACAGACUCAUCGACCUGGAGGAGACCAUUAGGCGACAGGAGGAGAGAAAUCCGGUCGGCGGAGCGCCAGAGCAUUGAAAGCCAGCCUGUAUCUACACUGUGUGAGGAGACUUUAAAAGGUUACAGAGUUCACGGCAUCCAAGGGUGUUUAGGAUGUCCUGAGAGGAGCAGAAUGAAGACAAAGAGGAACUUCUCUGUGACGCUGCAGGGAUCUAUUUUUUGGAUCCAACUGAGGGUUCCGAAAACAUUUUCUUACUAAAAAUGUGAAUAAAGACGCUGAGAAAGUGAA